UACGGAGGUUGCGAGCGUUGUUCGGAAUAACUGGGCGUAAAGGGAGCGCAGGCGGUUCGGUAAGUCUAAAGUGGAAGCCCGGGGCUUAACCUCGGAAGUGCUUUGGAUACUGUCGAACUCGAGUUCGUGAGAGGAAAGCGGAAUUCCAGGUGUAGCGGUGAAAUGCGUAGAUAUCUGGAGGAACACCGGUGGCGAAAGCGGCUUUCUGGCGCGAUACUGACGCUGAGGCUCGAAAGCAUGGGGAGCAAACAGG
rnacentral:rRNA from 1 species